rnacentral:rRNA from 1 species
UACGUAGGGUGCAAGCGUUAAUCGGAAUUACUGGGCGUAAAGCGUGCGCAGGCGGUUGUGCAAGACAGAGGUGAAAUCCCCGGGCUUAACCUGGGAACUGCCUUUGUGACUGCACGGCUAGAGUGUGUCAGAGGGGGGUAGAAUUCCACGUGUAGCAGUGAAAUGCGUAGAGAUGUGGAGGAAUACCGAUGGCGAAGGCAGCCCCCUGGGAUAACACUGACGCUCAUGCACGAAAGCGUGGGGAGCAAACAGG